GAAGAGGGGAAGAUAAUUCAUAUGGAGCAUCACACCAGCUAUCUCCUGCUCCCUGUCCUGCACUGCAAAGGAGGCCUUUUCAUCCUCUCUACUGCCUCCAAUUUUUCUCACGAGGAAUGUGAGAGGAAAACCUAGAGCUUGUUCCUGAAGCAUGGUGCUAAGUCCAUAUGCAGCAGAUGGAGCUCAUGAGAAAAGAGUUGCUCUUGUGAAGACCAAAGCUUGUUUGUCAGUUUCAAAUACUCAUGUAUCUGAUUGUCAAUGCUGGAGAGCUGGGGCCAGGGCAGUAGUUGAUGAAUAUCACCUGACUGUCUCCUGCAGAAAAAGCAUUCCCAGAAGCACGGAGAAGUGAGGAGAAAAGGCAAUGCACCUGGAGCUGGAGACCAAGGCCCUGUUCUUACUGAUGGCCCUUGGAGCAGAUAUUUGAAUUGGAGAGAUAAAACCGUGGUUUUUGGGGUGUUAAUUUUGGUGGCUGAUGCAUUCUGUGAUUGAUUUGGCUAUUACAACUGGUAUUGAUUUUAAACACAUUAAUUGCAAAAUCUCAAUUGUGAUUUGAUUUCUGUAUUUACAAUACUAAAAACGAGGCUUUCGCCAGGAGAAGACAAUUGGCAGUACUCAGUUGGAAGUGCUUAAUUGUUAAUAUAUAUCAGCCGUGGUUCUUCAGCGUCGUCAGUGUUGCUCAGUCUUGCUCUUUGUGGCGACUACUGAAUGCUUGAAAAAUUCUCUCCUAUACUCCCACUCUGCACUGUAGAAGAGAAAGAGAGGAGAGUGGAAGAAAAAAGAGAGGGAGAGGAGAAAGAAAGAGAGGAGAGAGAAACAUGGGCAUGGAUGAUACAUAAGGUAGUUGUAAACUGUGAUCAGCUUUGAUAAUAACUAGAUAAAUUCUUUUAAUACAAAAAUAUAUAAGGCAUUUUGCCUUUUUUUCAAAUUUCAAAUAAAUGGAUUUGUAUAGAAUGUAGUCUGUUGCCCAGAGUUUUCAUUUAGCAUAAUGCAUUUGAGAUUUAUCCAUGUUGUUGUAUAUUCUUUUUAUUGCUGAGUAGUAUUCCAUUGUGUGGAUAUACCAGUUUGUUUAUCCAUUAACCUUUGAUGGAUAUUUGGGUUUUUUUCAAUAUGAGGCUCUUAUAAAUAAACCUUCUGUAAUCAGG
rnacentral:lncRNA from 1 species